UUUUGUCAUUUUCAAGGUCUGCGAAAUGGUUUUUGAAGAAACUGUAAAUAUUAUGAAGGCAAAAAAUUGUUCGAGCUAGACGAAGACGAAGACGACGAAGAAGAAGAUGUCAACAGAAAUACAUUCUUCUUUAAUUUCAGAAUCACCAGACGAAAACAGUCUGUAAGUGCAAAAAAAUCCUCCAAUUUAUUAUACUGAUUGUAAUUUGUACUUGGAAUUUCAAAUAUAUCAUAUUUUGUUAAUUAUCUGCUAAGUAAAUGCUUUGUAAUUUAGUAAUUCAUCAUUUUCUAGCUCAACAACCUAAAAAAUCACUAAAAUACUUGUACUAUUUCAUUUUUGGGGAUCAUAUUCGUUUUUUUUAGAAAAAUGAAAUUAGGGAUUUGAACUGGUUGAAAGGGGGACUGUAAUUUGGUUGAGGAAACCUUGAUUUUGGGAAGUGAAGGGCGUCGUUAUGAUAGUUUUCCAAGGGGUGACUCGUUGUGUGUCAAUUGGCACUCAACAACAAUUACUACAUAUCCAAUUAUUUUCAUGAAUGGGUCUGGGGAGGGUAGAGUAUAUGCAAAUUUUAUCGCCACCUUGUAGAGAUAGAGAGGUUUGUUUUCGAAAGACCUGUGGCUCGAGUGAUACAUGACAAGGCAGUUUUAAAAAGACACUACAAAGGUAGACAAGGCUUGACAAAUAAUAGAGAAAGUGUAAUACACCAUACAUAGUAGACUAAUGUGAUAAAUGAAGACAAGAAACAACACAGUAAUUGAAGAAUAAGAAACUACGAAACCUUCAAUAGAAUAGUCUCGUACCUUUUCUAAGCCACAUUUCCUCGCAAAAAAUUAGGUAGCUUCUGGCAUAUUAAAGAACUUUUUUUUUUUAUAAAACUCACUGGCCCAUAAAUCACAUUCUUCUGAAAUGGUAGGAAACUCAUAUAUAAUUCGAUUCAACACAGACAUUAGACAAGUAGUUUUAAGUGCAAUGACUACUUACUGACUGCACCUAUACGGAGUAAACUCAUAUAUACCUUUUUUUUUGUAAGAAUCAGAAGAAGAGAAACACUACUACUUAUAUAUAGAAAAAGCAAUUUCUAAGACAAAACAACUUUCAAUUGCAAGCAUCACAAUCAUAUAACUUCAGCCCACAAGUUCCCUGCUUGUCAGAUCCACAUUUUACCAAGCAGUACAAUUCCACUGGCAUGUAACACAGUUUUUUUUCUUUUGAUAAGGUAAAGGUUUAUUAACUAAGUACCAAGAAGGUACCAAAACCAAAAGUUACAAAUCCACUGGCAUGUAACACAGUUUACAACACCAGAACUAUUUACAUUGCCCAAAUCCUCAAAAUGACGCAAUUCUGUUCCAAAGUUUUGAUCUUUUUACUUCCAAGUUAAUUUGAGAGAUAAUGGACAAAAACACGUGAACUAUCACUUUUUUCGCGAGUUUCACACUUCAACAAUCGGUUGUUCCCUUUUUCUUUUCCUACCUGAACUAUCACCAUCUAUGUAUUAUAAGAGAAAUAGUAAUGAUUUUUCUAUGUUGAAUGGACAUCUUCCACCUAAUAAUCUAGUCUUUUGGAUUGCGCUCUCCUGUCAGUCUACAACAAUUGAUAUUAGGACAGGUCAAUUAAUGCUUGAGACUGAGACUCGAAGUGAUGGCCUAAUAGACCACUGAGAGUGGGUAUCGAUCUAGAAGGGUGUCAGAUGUGACCAACUAGUAGAGUGCCAGCAGUGGUAGCCUAGAUCCAAGUGGGGUGCCGGUUGUGAUCAACUGAGCGCAAUAAGGAAAAAAGGAAUGAGAUGCCAGUCGUGACCAACUUGGCCAGAGGGGUUCUAAGAGUGCCAGCCUGGAUUAAAAAGAAGUGGUGCCAGUCAUGAUCAACAAAGUCGUUGGUCCUCAAGCAAGGAGAAUUGUCGUGUGUCAAUUGUUCCUCAUUGAUUAAACAGAGACAUAGUAAUGAAUUUAUAGGCUCAAUGAACUCUCCCAUCUAAUAGGUAGUCUUUUGGGUUGAGUUCUCUGAUUCAGACUGUAACAUUAUCCAUAAGGGAUUCCUAGUGGUUGAAGAGAUGGAGUAAUAACCUUGGGAGUUGGGAUCAAGGCUGGAAUCCUUGCAGAUGCGACACUAGGUGUACUCCUCCGGCUAAUUAUACCUUGAUGGGUAGAGUUACCCAAUACUUGUGUUGAUUGAAGAUAACAUCUACCUAGUAUUCAUUAAGAAAAAAGAUAACCUCUACCUAGUAAACUAAUCAAGGUGUGCUCAUGUUGAUUCGGAAACAAUUUGCAAAGGCGCUAUUGUAAUUCGUGUUCAACUAACAACAACAACAAUAUACCUAGUGUAAUUCCAUUAGUUGGGUCUGGGAAGGGUGGUGUGUAUGCAACCUUACCCCCACCUUAUGAAGGUAGAGAGGGCAUUUCCAAUAGAGUAUUUCGUGGUCAACUGACAGAAAAUAUUACUCCUUCCAUUUCAAUUUAUAUGGCGGUGUUUGAUAGGAAUGAAGUUUAAGAAAAAACGAAAGACUUUCAAGUCUUAUGGUUUAAAACCAAACACAUUUGUGUGACUCGAAAUCAUCUCAACAACAACAUAUCGUCAUACCCAGUGUAGUCCCAGCAAGUGGGAUGACUAUAAAUCAUCUCAUUUAGGGUAAAGUGUGAAAUUUAAAGUUAAAUUGGUUAUACAUACAGAAAGUUGUCAUUCAUUUAGGGACAAACUUAAAAAGAAAGUAUAUCACAUAAAUGAGAAGUAUGCCACAUUUAAUGAGACAGAGAGAAUUGGUGAUUUCUAUUUUCUUCCCAUGUUAAAUCCUCCAAUACUAAUUUAUUGGGAUGUUGCCAACUAGGUAUGUGCAACAUUGGCUUGGAAUGGAAUGGUCUAAAUAGAAUAACAUGGAUACAGAGGACUCAUAUAGUCCAUCCCAACCAAUUUGGGAUUGAGGUAUAGUUGAUUUGAGUUUCUUAUAUGAGCUCCUUCCAAAUAUUAAUGAUUUUCUUGUAAUUCUCUGAGUGACUAUACUCUAAUGAUUUUUGAAGUCUGAACCUAGACACUAAGCGGCUGUAAUUUUUGAGAGUAUCCCUAAGGAAGAAUAAAUUAAAGGAAUGGAGGGGGUGAACUAGGAUGGUAUACAGUUGUGUGUAAGCAAAGUAGAGAUGUCUCUUGGGAAUCAUAUGACUAUUCAAGUUAAAUGAUGAGACUAAACAAUAGGUUAUUCCUGUUUUGACUUAAUACUUCAACUUCUCUUUCUAAUUACUAACUAUGCUGCUUGUUCAACUGUAGGUUCGUGGACUUUGCUGUUUUGGCGGUGGGAGCUACAUGGAUAUUUUUGCAGCUGUAAUGUUUCCCUCCUUGUUGUCACAGGUGCGCAUUCUCUGUCUUCUUUCGUAUGCUUUCAGCAAAUCAUAAGAUUUAAAUCUCCUGCAUUUCAUUGUAUUUUUCCAGCAUAUGACUUCCCUCUAUAGCUCUAAUUUUUCCAACAUGUGACUUCCCUCUGUAGGCAUUUUUCAGCAAUAUUUGGUCUAUCAAGUCAAGAAAAUACGGUUACAGGUCAGUAUUUUUACUAUUUUUCAUGAUAAUAAUAUGUAUGGAGCCCAACUAGCUUGAGAUCAAGGUUUUGUUGUUGAAAUGGCCAUUAAUGAUUAAUAUUAUUCUUUCAAUAUGUAGCUUGAGAUGAAAGUUAUUGGGGAAGAGUUAAAAGUCAUCCAUACCUCACCCUUCUCUUGUGACAUGCGCUCAGAAGAAAACAUGGAGUUAAAAAUCUCUCCUUAUCUAUACUUUGUUAUCAAAAAAAAAAAAAGAUUCUCUCCUUGUAUAUAAUCUUGGUAGAAAUCAUCUACUUGUGGGGUCUUUGGCAUAUUAAUGAUGUUAUGGUGCCGAAAAAAUCAUAUUAUUCAAGUGUCAUUCCUUAGUAUGCACUCUGUUGGGUGUCCAAAGUGGGUGGUACCAGUAAGCUGGAGAAACAGAUCAGUAUGGUCAAAGAACCUGAUUUACAAACUGUAUGGAACUAAAGGUUUCCCAAAUGAGGUAGAGCAUAAUCUCACUGGAGGCAAAUUGUAGGAGGGCCUAAGACCUUGAAAAUGGAUCUAGGAAAUCAUGAAUUGUACUUUUUAAGCAGAGGGAAGAAUUGAGUCGCAUAUGGAUUUCAAACUUUUGCUAUUUGUUUUCUUUCUCCUUUCUAUUCUGUGGGUACAAAGUAACGAAAUUCAGUUAAGCGAGUUGGCAACUUCUCUGCUCUACAAUUCAGAUACAUAUUCUCAGGGUUCCUGAUAUCUUUCUUUUUUGUUGAAUGAAAGACUUCUGGCAACUUUACUUGGAUGGGAAAUAGAAUUUACUGAUAUAUAUCAGCUAUCAAUAUAGAUCAUCUUCAUUUUAGCGUCUUCAUUCAAAAUCAUAUGUUCUAUAAACAACAAUUUCUAAUAUUUGCAAUAAUAUGAACUUUAAUUUUGUAGGGGUACUAUAUUUUCAGCCAGAAACUGAAGCAUAUUAUUCGCCUACCAUUUGCUACAAUCGCAUAUGGUAUGCAUUACCUGAUUCUCUAGUUUAUGCGGCAGUAUUUUCUUUUACUAUCCUUUUUCUCAAUUAGUUUUGAUCAUCUCUACCACAAAUCUGUGGUCAAAUCAAAUCUUGCUGUUAGUUUUCAACUAUUUUCCUUAUGACGGUGGUGUCUGGGCCAGCUUGUGUGCAACUCAACUAUUCCACCGGGACUUGCUACCUCCCACCAACACAAUUGUUGGUUUAACUUUGCCACAAGACUUAGGCAGAUGGGAAGAAAUCACCUAUCAUGCCAACUAAUCUGCUAUAAGUGAAUUGCAUCUCUGCUAUUUUCUUACAGAAAUUACAAUUAUUUUCUAUGUAUGAUCUGUUAAUUUGCACAUGAGGAUCUGAUCUUGGACCUUCUCAAUCCUCCACUAUAGCUCCCAUAAGGGAAAAGAGAAGCUGAUAAAUCUGAGUGUGAAGUAAUUAAUGAACACCGUGCUUAAAAGAUACUAAUAUUCAAGAGAUCAAAAUGUGUGCAUGAAACAAGCUAAGACCAUUAUUUUUUUUCUUUUUAAAGAAAGCUGUACUGUUGUAAUUUCUUCUCAGAUUCGUCUGUUAUUUGAAUAAUACUCCAGGAACAACUAACUAGUUUAAUUCUAAGUUGCUUCCGUAAUUGUUUUAAAAAGUAAGAAUUAUUUUCCUUUUGUUUCUUUUAAAAUGAAUAUCCAUUUGAAACAUUUCAAUUACAGGAACCGCUGCGAUGCUGCUUGUCAUGGUUUGGGACCCACAUAUUGGCAUCCUCUCUAUGUUGACACUAUUCAGGUUUACAUUCCAAGAAAUUGACUGCAUCGAUUUUCUUAAUUCUGUGCAGCUCCUUGCAUAAAGAGAUGUUUAUUUAGCAACUUUCAGUAUUGAAAUGGUCCCGGGGGACUUUUUCCUUCUUAAUUUGAGGAUAAUUUCUGAUGUAUUAUGCAUUAGUAAAUUAUAUCUUUAUCUAGGUAUUCUAUGAUACAGCUAUCUUUUAGCAAAACAUAAAUGUUAAAUCUAAGUUAUGCUAGACACUUUUAGGCGAGGUAGCAUUCAAGUCAGAGAGGUGGUUUUGAGGAUAAAAUUUAUAAAAAGCUCUUCAAAAUCUUUAGGAUUUCAAGUUACCUUUUCAAAAAAAAAUAAAAAAUCUUUAGGAUUUCAAGUUUGGAUAGGUGAAGAAACUUAAAAUAUGGAAGUAUGAUGGGGAAUAAUAACUUUAUUUACUAUCCAUAGAUAAGUUGUAGACGAGGAAAAUGAGACUCUCAAGGAGUCAUAAAUGGGACUUUCUUGGAGCUUUAAGUAUUGGCCGCCAGGUUCUAACAUGAAAAAGGUAAAGGAACUGAAUCUCUCUAAUUCUUAUUUUAAUUUGCUUUGUUUUGAAAUAAGAAUUAAAAAAGAAACAUCUUAACUAUACAACCUGAAAUUUUCAAGUAACGGUAUUUCCCAAAAAACUCUCACAAAUGUACAGUGUAAUGAGGAAGAUGGUAAAAUAUAAGUUGCUGCCGUUUUCACUUUAGUUUAGAGAGCUCCACCUCAAGGACUGAAAGCAGAUGAAUGUGAUUUUUUUAGUAAUAGAGACACAUUUUCCAGAUUUGCACAGAUGAAGAGUGUAAUGAGGCAGGGUAAAUUCUAAACAGCUGCCGUUCUCGCUUUGGUUUAGAGAUAUCCACUUCAAGGACUGAAAACAGUUGAGGUGGAUUUGAUAUAUCAUAUAUCAAUAUGUUCUGUUGAAUCCACGAAAAAUUAGGACCAAAAAUGUCAGAUUGGUGGGGUGGAUGUGGCACAUGAACUUGAUCUUAGUUCCCCAAAUAUAAGUUCAUCUAAAUCCUUAAAGUUGUCAUUCAUGGGUGGAAGAAGAAAGAGCUUGAAGGUUUCACUGGUUCAGGCUCAAUGUAAAGGCUGCCUAGGCUUUACAAUUAUCAAAAUAGUAGGACCUCAAGGAUGUGUAUAUAUAUCUGAUCGCAUUUCUGUUCCUUUAGUUACAUGCAAAGUUGGAGGUUGCGUGGGCUAUAACUGUGGUAUUGAAGUUUAUAUAUUUAUUCUUUGUGAUGUUUUCUGAACUUGCUUCAUUUUUGUAGGAUCGUCAUGCUGACGGAAGUAGUAUGUGUUAGUUCUUUCAUGACAGUCUAUAUUGGUGAGUAACCUCCUUUAGGGGUUGCUUUUAACAAAAGUCAAUUUCCUUGGUAAAAUUUCAUCAUUUUUAAACCCCUAAACCGUCUAGAGAAGACUCCUACUGAAUUGCAUGCUUGAGAGAUGAUGUUAAAACAUAAAGCAUCUUCAUGUUUGAGAAUUUGAAAAUAGUUUUUCUGUCUUUUAAAUGACCUAUUAGAAAUUCUAACCUGUUCUAUAUUAUUAGAAAGUGCAGAUGCAAAAUAAAGUCAAUUAAACCUUCUACUCUCUUCAGGUUGCGUUCACCAGUACAAUUCAUUGGAUUCCCAGCCCGAUGUUUUAAAGUCACUUUAUUCUCCACUUCAACCAUCAAGUUCUCUGGAAGGUUUGAGGUACCUCUCAGGUUUACAGUCUGAUUAUGGAGAAACAUUUUGUCCAAUAAUUGGGUGACUAUUACUUUACCUUUAGGGCAUGCUUGAAAACACUAUCUGAUUACAUGGCCGUUUGAAAACUAGUAAUCACACAACCUAAUAGCUACACAAUAUAGUAAUUACAGGGUGAUACUCAAUCUCAUGUUUGGUUGCAUGUAAUUACGUAGUUGAAUAUUCUUUUAUUUUCAAUAAAAUUUAAUUGUAAUUUAUUUUUUUCAUAUGAACAUGUAAAUGAGUUUUAAUGUGUGACAACAUAUAUGUGUAUAAGAAAUAUUAAAAAUGAAAAAAGAAAGAAUUUGAAAAGCCAUCUGGUAAUUAGACUUUGUAAUUACUUCCAAUUCUUUGCUCCUCUUGAGAACUGGAAACUGUAAUUACUCCCCUCAACUACACCCAAUUCCAUGCUGACGAAGUAAUUACUUGGCCAGUCGUUAAAAGGGUAAUUACACCCACAUAUUCUCAGGGUUCCUGAUAUCUUUCUUUUUUGUUGAAUGAAAGACUUCUAGUAACUUUACUUGGAUGGGAAAUUGAAUUUACUGAUAUAUAUGAAACAAUACAUACCCCGUAGUGUCUACAACCGAGAAAUCUACGUCCAAGAUUGUCAUUUGUCCAUGAAAUUUUCAGAAUUGGAGGAGUCCCUACAUAAGCAAACAAGUCUCCUAUUAUAAUUCAUGAAUUUAGCAAUAGCAAUUAAAACUAAAAAGAGAAGAAAAAUUCUGAAAUUUGAAAAGGGAGAAUAAAUAGUUAGAGAAUAGAGAGAAAAAUCUUUAAAAUAUGCCAAAUAUUAAAGAAAAAUGGAGAUUUUACGUUUUUACCAUUGUAGCUUUAUGAUGUGGCAAAAAAUCACUUCCUCGCGCUCCUAGUAGAGUGUGCUGUCAAUUUCUACGCCAGAUGGACAAUAAAGGUGUGAGGAAUAAACAAGUUCGGGGGUAAUUAAAGCAGAAUUUAGUUUAGCUGUACAUCGAAUAAAAAAUUUCAAAUUCAGAGGGUAAUGAGUACUUUUGCCUAUUUUUUUGGGGUCUAUUGUACUCUUUUUUUAAGACAAAUUGAUGUGACCUAUUAGAAGGACGAAUUUGUUUUUUGUGGCUCUUAUAUUAUGCUCACUAUUAUUAGUAUUAUUUUGAGACUUUUGGUGAUGAUAAAGAGUCAUACAUUUUCUCUUGCAUGAGUUUCUUGUUUCUCAUGUUAUUUUAAAGUUUCGGUUCGUGUGACCGUAUAAUUUAAAGAUGAAACAUAAAAUUUAUAAAAAUUGAUUUGUUUGGACAUGCAUUUUAUAUUUAAAAAAUAAAAUUUUGCGAGUGGGACUCAAAAAAUGUAAAAAUCAGUUUUGGGGCACUUGUAAAUAUUUAAAAAGAAAAUAAUCAAAUUUCAUAAUCAAACAGAUACUUGAAGGUAAAUUUCAAAACCUAUGGACAACUCUAGCUUAGUGUAUUUUUCAUCUUCAUUUGAAAUAUCAAAAGCUUACUUUAGUAUGUAUUUGAUACGAUGGAAAUUUUUCAGAAAAGAACGUUAAACUCUUACUUGUUUUUUUGUAUUUGUUAUGAAAAUAAAAAAUAUCAUACUAAAAACGUUUAUAUAAUUUAGACAACUAUUAUUAUGGAGGCGGAGGGUGUGUGGUAGAGAUGGUAUGGGGAUGGAGCCUACAAUGGUGGGUGAAGAUAAGAUAUUUUGAAGGGUGUUAAUUACGCAAUUAAUAUACAAACUCAAACAUAUUAUGCAUUUCACGAUCAAAGAAAAAAAAAGGUACUUUUUUAAAGUAGAAAUAAUAGGCUUUCCAAAAAGUAAAAAUGAAACAUCAUUUGUACAAUUAUUUACAUAUUUUCGCUAAAAAAGUUAUUUUCUUCGUUUUAAAAGAUCUUUUAUUUAAAAAAUUAUAUUUUUCAAUUUUUUUAACCAUUAAAAAAAUUCUAUUUCAAACACACCCUUCAAGAAACAUGUUGGGCCAGAGGGUCAUUUUGAAAAAUGUAGUCACAUAAGUUGCAUACAACAACUACAAGACAAGGAUAUAUAUAUAAUUAUUUACAUGCAUUAUUUGCCCACAUAAAUUAAUUCGUAUUGGUCGAUUGAUUUGGUUAAGUUUAUAAAUUGGUCAAUAUAUUUAUUAAAUAUUCAAAAUAUUUAUAAGUUACGUGGUUAUAAAUCAAAUUAACUAAAAACAACUUGCUUAUAACAAUUUUAUUUUUACUAUUCUAUGACUUUUCGGCAUCUUUUUCUAAUUCUUAAAAUACUUUAUACAACAUAAAACGUGAAACUCCAUCUUCACUUCUUAUUCAUUCUUUCUCAUUUUCUUGGUAAAUAUAUUUUUAAAUUUAUAAUUAUAUUUUAUCAUUUUAACAUCGGGAAAGGGAUAAAAUUACCUUGUUGCUAUUCGACGAGAAACUUUUGCCCUUUAGUAUAAAAUGAUAUUUUGAAGUUAUCAUCGUGAUAAAAGUGGGUAUUUAUGCACCUAAUGAACUAAUCCAUCAUUAAUUUCUUUUUAAUUCUGAUUAAAUAUUAUAGUUCGUAGCCGAUUCAAAUGUCAAAUUAAAUUCAAUUGAACUCCUAAUUAUCAAUGGAGGACAUAAUGUUCCUCGUCAAAUAGUAAAUGGACUAACACAUCAUUAGUUCCUCUUAAUUUCGAUCCAAUCUUAUGGUUCACGAUCAAUUCAAACCCCAAAUUAAAUCCAAUUAAAUUCUUAAUUUUCAAUAGAGGGCAAAAGAGUUCCUCGUUGAAUAUCAAAAGGAUAAUUUUGACCCUCUGUCGAUUUAACAAAAAAAGGGGCUUGUAGAUAUUGUUUUACCAUCAAAUACAUUAACAAUAUUAUAUUAUCAGUUUUAGAGAUCUUUCUUGAGGUUUAGCUUCGUAUUCAUAACACUACCUUCCUUUUGUAAUUUAAGUAUCACACUUCUCUCCCAUAUCAUUUUUCUCUUUAUAAAACAAUUCUAUUAUAACAAUUCUAUUAAUAUAUUUAUCAUAAUUAUGAAAAAAAUAAUGAUGAACUUUCCUUUUAAUAUAUACUUUUUUUGACAAAUAAAUGUAAAUUCAUUAGCUGGAAAUAUUGUCGUGUUACACGUUUUGUUCCUAUGGAGCCAGUGAAUAUUUUUCCUGAUGAAAAAUCUGAUAUGGGGGAUGCUAUCUCAAAAUGAAAUUUUAUUAAUUUGAAAUUUUAGAAAAAACAGUUUAUACUUUUAAAAAAAAAAAAAAAAAUUGUAAGUGCAAACAAGAAUUUUUUUUUAAUUCAAUCUUGAUUUUAUAAAUUAACAAGCAAUUUAGAUUUACUAUUUAUAGUAAUGUGGACAAUUAAUAUAAACAAAGUGAGUAUUUUAUUUAAAUGAGACCGAAGAGAAGAUACCUUAGUGAGCAACGAUCUAAGUUUGACAAGGAAAACCCGCAGCCGCAACAAACUAUUUAAUAUAAUAACUCGCAAAUCACAUAGAAGAGGUAACCCGCACUAGGCAAUCCCGGUGCGAAGAGCUCAACCCAGAAGGCAAACCCCUUGCUUUCGCUGGCAAGGGUUUUCAAACUUGAGACCUCCAUCAUGGAAGUCCCAAGCCCAAAUCACUGGGCCACCCCGAAGGGUACUUCGCAAACUAUUACACUAAAGCUAAAUUUAUCUCGUACACAAAUAAUUAAUAGUCUUUUUACGAAAACAAAAAUCUCUAAUGAUGUCAUCAAGAAUCGAGAAGAUCUUAAUUUUUUGAUAACUUUAAUGAUAAACCUUUCACGUAUUAUAUAGUACUGGAUUAAAUAUAAUGGAGUAGUGACAUUAUUAAUCUUAAUUAUUUAAAAAAUCUUAAACUUGUACAACCAAUUUUAAUAUGAAUAUAAUUCUUAUACAACUAAAUUGAACAUGUCAAUUUAACAUUAUUUUAUUUUUCUUUCGGCAGAGGGGUACUAUUCUGAAAAUAUAUAUAUAUUAAAGUAAUGAAAAAAAUACGUAGUGGGUGUAUAUUUUUAUUUUAAUCCUCGUAAUAUUUUGUUAAGCAGAUUUAAUCUUCAAUUUAUCGAAAUGUGGUAUUGGUGGUUUAUUUUUAGAAGUAUGUUAUUAUCGAACAUGAAGUAAUCAUACAAGUUUAACAUAACAUGUUUUGAAACUAAAUAAAUUGUGAAACAUUUAAUAAUUCUUAAAAUUCAUGAAUAUUCCCAUGUUAUGAUUUCAUAUCAUAUCAUAAUUUCAUAUUGCAUGACCAAACAAGCCCUAAGAUAUCAAAGGUAUUGAAAUCGAUUGAAUGCAUUGACUGUAUAUAAUAUCAUCCAAUAUUACUAAUUUUAAUACAUACAUUUGGCUAAUUAUAGUAAAAAAUUACAAUACUAAAAAUAGUUGAGAAAUUUCCAAUAUGAUAGACUUGAAAUUUUUUGAAAGAUUGAUGCAAUAAAAAAAAUAGUUUAAAACGUCAAAAAUGCUACCAAUAAUCACUUAGAAGAGAGGUGUCGCCCAAAUUUUAAAAAAAAAAAACAAACUAGGUGUAAGAUUCAAAUUUCUAACAUCACUUAGAAAGACAUCUACGCCCAAUAAUGAUUGCAUUAUAUCAUACUUUAUGUAUGUUCAUCAGUUAUUUUUCAAUAUAACAUUACUAUAUAUAUAAUCUCGAAAGAGGAGCAUAGAUUGGCGUGAACUCGGGAAAUCCCUUUGAUACGCCCGUGAUAACAACCAUCCGACAUGUUGUAUUAAAUAGCCUAAUAACCAGUCCAUUGAAGUAUUCCCAAGAACUAACAAAAACAUCAAUUAAGCUUUUCUUCACCAUGGAGAAACAAACAAAUGGAAAAACAAGAACAAAUGAUGAAGAAAAAAAUCAAGAAUCUCAUGAAGCACAAGCAAAUAUGUGGAAGUUUGUGUUUGGUUUCACAGAAAUGGCUGUGAUUAAAUGUGCAAUUGAAUUAGGAAUUGCUGAUUUUUUGGAAAAAAUCAAGAACCUAUUAGCCUAAAUCAACUUUCUAUUGCACUUUGGUUGUUGUUCCUCUUCCCUCUAUCGUAUCCUAAGGUAUGAUUAAUUAGUUUGUAAUUUGUUAUUCUGUCUGUUUCAAUUUACGUGACAGUGUUUAGCUAUAUAUACAAGAAAUUUGAUUUUUUAAAAUAUUUGUGUGACUGUAAUUGAGCAUCUCAUUAAAUUAAGGGACUAGUCCACGAAGGGUUGUAGUGAAGAGGUUAGUACGUAUUCAUAUUCAUGCAUCCUUAACUAGAGAUCUUAUGCUCGAUUCCUGAGUAUGAAAUUCUCUUAGGUAGAAAAUGUCUUAUCCUACUAAUUAACAUCAGGAGGAAAAAAUUAUUGAACUAAUGAAAAGCUUAAAGUUAAGUUAUUUUUAAAUAAGGAUAUGAAGAAUUAUUUUUAGUUAAGACAGACUAAAAAAAAGUAUCAACACUCAAACCUCUUUAUAAUAUCAUCAUUUGUUUGGAUUUUUUUUUUAACAGUGAAAUGAUGCUAUAGAAAUUAAAUGGUAUAGCAUAAGAUGAAACAUAGAUUCUAAGGAAAACUUGACAGUUAUUGUGAAAUAUUGUUAUAAAGAGAUAUGAUUGUAGAUAUUUGUUAUAAAAAUAAUAAUGUUAAUAAUAUGUACAUAUUUUAUAGGUUCUUGAUCAACCGUGGAAUAUUCAAGGAGACAUCAACCAAAAGCGGCAAAAGCGGCUAUGUUCAAACGCCUCUUUCCCGCCUUCUCAUUAAAGAAGGCGAGAAUAGCAUGGCUGCUUUCCUACUAUUUGAAAGCAGCCCUGUGAUGUUGGCAUCGUGGCACAAUCUUAGUGCACGUAUUUCAUCAAAGGACAAUAGUAUGUCCUCCUUUGAAGCAGCUCAUGGAAAGGAUGUCUGGAAGUACGCGGAAGCUGGACACCCGCCUUUGAAGCAGCUCAUGGAAAGGAUGUCUGGAAGUACGCGGAAGCUGACCCGAAACACAGUAAUCUCUUGAACAAAGCAAUGGCAUGUGACGCUAAGAUAGCAGUAUCUGCGAUUAUCGACGGUUGCCCCGAGAUAUUCAAGGGGGUGAACACGGUGGUUGAUGUUGGUGGUGGUGAUGGAACAACACUUAGAUUAUUGGUGGAGGCUUUUCCUUGGAUUAAUGGGAUUACUUUUGAUCUCCCUCAUGUUGCUUCUGUUGCACCUCAUGCUAUUGGUGUUGUACAUGUUGGAGGUGACAUGUUUAAUUAUGUUCCCAAAGCUGAUGCUGCCUUCCUCAUGGUAAGUACUACUUCCGUCUCAUAUUAGAUGAACAUCUUACUAAAAAUAUUUGUUUCAUAUUAUAUGAUCUUUUACUAAUUAAUCAGAAUAAUUUUAUUUUACUUUUCAUUUUACCACUACAAUUAGAGUAAUUUCCCUAGAUAGUCACCCAUGUUUGGGAAAUUACCUAAGAAUAUCACUUAUGUUUGUUUUAGAACCACAAUAUCACCCAACUUUACCUCUUUUCCUCAAAAUAUACUUGACAAAAAAAAUUAUCUCUCUCCUAAUAGGAUGCCAUGUCACAUUAUUCUUUUUUUUAUUAUUAACAUUUUUUAAUUCCUUUUUUAUUAUUAACAUUUUUUAUUAUUAACAUUUUUUAAAAUUCUUUAAAAACAUUAUAUCCUUUGUAGUUUGACAAUAUGGUUACCAUAUUACUCUAAUGAAUUAAAAUAUCAACAAAAAGGGAGUCCGAAGCUAAAAGGGUCAUUUUUUCCUUCAAAAAACAAAAAGGGCAUAUCAAAAAAAAAUUAACCAAAAGGGCAAAAUCCCUCUUGACGGAUCGAUUUUCUUCUGACAAAAAUUGACGUCGUUCCGUUAAAAGAAAUAAAAAUCGUUGCAUUUGACAGCGAUUUUUCAAACAAAUAAAUCAUUAUUUCUUUAAAAUCGCUGCUAUAGCAGCGAUUCUUUCUUAAGGAAUUAAAAAAAACAUAAAGAACAAGUUUUAAAUUACAUAAAUUUCUGGCGACAGCCAUUUAACAAAAAAAAACAAGUUUUUUAAAGAAAAAAUUGUUGCCGACGCAGCGAUUUUCAGUUUUAAUUUUCAUUUAAAUCGCUGAAAGGGUAAAGAUUUAAAAAAAAAAAAAGAUUUUUAUGAAAAUCGCUGGCUUCAGUUUUAAUUUUUUUUAAUUUUUAUUAAAUUCUCUGCAAGGGUAGGUAUUUUUUUUAAUUAGCAGCGAUUUUGCUUUUAAUUUUUUUUAUAUAAAAACGCUGUUAUAGCAGCAAUUUUAAAGAUUUUUUUUUUUUUUGAGAAAAUCGGCAGCGAUUUUUAUUUCUCUUAGCGGAGCGGCGUCAAUUUUUGUUAGAACAAAAGGAGCGAUUUUGCCCUUUUGGUUAAUUUUUUUUUUGAUGUGCUGUUUUUGUUUUUUAAAGAAAAAAAGUUGCACUUUUGGCUCCGAACUCAACAAAAAGGUGCCAUUGCCCAUUAGUGCCCAUAUAAAAAUAUUAUCUCGUUUGAAAAAUCGGAGGAGCUCAUAUUUGGAUUUGCUGCCUAAUCCCCUAGAACUAGGGUAGAAAUUUUUGGGCUAUGUAAUUUUUUUUUACUAGGUAAUAUGGGUUGUCUAAAUUAUUUUUUUAAAAAAAGUUAAUAAUGAAAAAGGAAUAAUGUGACAUGGCAUCCUAUUAGGAGAGAUAUAAUGUUUUUUUGUGUAAGUAUAUUUUGAGGAAAAGAGGUAAAGUUGGGUGAUAUUGUGGUACUAAAACAAACAUAAGUGAUAUUUCAAGGUAAUUUCCCAAACAUGGGUGACUAUCCAGGGAAAUUACUCCUACAAUUAAUAUGACCUUUGGAAGUUUAAACAAAUUUUGAAGAUCCAGAAUUUCUUUUUUCAGGAGGCUAAUUAAUAUAAACAAAAAAUACAGUAGUAAAGUUGAUCAAUCUAUUAAUAAUUUCUUAAUUACAGUAUAAAAUAGAAAGUUAAUUACCAUCUAAUAUGGGACGGAGGAAAUGGAUAUUACUACAAAAAAAUGCUCAAUUUAUGGGGGUUAUUUUGUCAAUUUAUAGCGGUUUAGGGAUCCCACAAAUUAAAUUGUGGCGGUUUUUAAAAAUGCCACAAUUACCCUUGCCACGAGCAUAUUUGCAGCGGUUUUAGUAAACCUCCACGACGUCCCCCGCAAAAUGACUUUUAAAUUCGUGGAGGUUUUCCAGUAUCAAUUUUUGACGGUUUAGAACCUUUACAAUAUGAUUUCAAUAUUUUUAAACUCAAAUUUGUGUGGAUUUAAAACUGUCAUGGCUUUAAAUUAAAAUUUACAUUUAUAAUUUGAUUUGUGGAGUCUUACAAAAUUAUUAUUAUUUUAAUAAUAAAUGUGAAAUUUUAUUUACAUCAAGCCUUCAAAAUAAUAAGUAAUUUUAAAUUUGAUUUACAUCAAUUCUUCAGAAUAAUAAGUAAUUUUACUAAAUAACACAUUUAAAGCAAAUUAAAUUUCACUAAGCAUAAGUUUCACAAAUUCAAAUUUAUGUCAAAUAAAAGUAAUACAAACUUGUGUAUAAUAAUUUUAACAUAAUAAUGUUAAAUCUUUUUAAAAUCCACAUCAAAUAAACAUAACGAAAAUUAUGUAGCAUUUGUUUGGUGAUUUAUGUUGUUGUCGUCCAAUCUUUUUAUCCAAAGUGACAUAAGCUCUCUGCAUCAGGCUGAAACAAUGAAAACAUUAUAUAUAAUUAGAUAAACAUAUAUUGAUACACAUAUAUCUUCGUACAUCUUGAUAAAAAAGUAUUAAAAUUCAAUUCAUUUCAAAAGCAAAGCAUAUAAAGCUUUGAUUUUACAAAUAAUUAUAAGACUAUGGAUGAAAGAAAUUUACUUUGAUGUUCUCUCAUACACACUAAUAAAGUGAAUAACAACAACUUCAUGAUUAUUUCUACAUAAGUUUACUAGGUUUAAAUUUUCCAAAAUCAUAUAAUGAUGCUCAUUCGAUUUAACACAUUGGUUCAAGUAUUUCUCACUUCUCUUGAUUUAUAAGUUAGACUUUCCUCUUUGACCUUAGUUUUUUCUUUCAUUUACCAAAAAGUAAUCAUAACUUCAACAAUUUAUCGUAUUGAAUAAGAAAAUACAUAAUUUUAAAGUUUUAUUGAUAUCGAUCACAAUCUAAUAUGAAAAAAUGUCCUUUAAUUUGUAAUAGUCGAUCCAAUCAAGAAUAAAAUGAUUACGUGAUUCUUAACUAAACAAAAAUAAAAUUAUGAUUUACCAUAAAUCAAUCAAUGAUUGGGUAUAGACGACUUUACCAUGUAGUGAGAAUUCAAACAAAAUCUGAAAUAUGUAAAAAAAACACUGAUUCAGUAAGUUUAACAACUUGCAAAAUAUAAAAUGAUCAAAUAAUAAUAUGAAUUUUAAAUUCUAGUAUGAAUCAUCAAACUCACGUAACACAAAAUUACCUUUGUAUUCAAAUAAUGAAUUAUUUUUCCUCUAUUCCACUUUGCAAAGCCUACAAUGAAAAAUAUAAUUAGCAAAACUACAUAUAAAAAAAUGAAGUAAAGAAGAGUGAAAGACAAAAGGAGAGAGGAGAGGGGAGGGUGUGUGUUUUACGUGUGAAUUAAUGGGUUAAGGGGAAAAAGAAAUGAGUUAAGGAGAAAGAAUAAAAAGGUAUUUGUGCGUUGUUUACGUGGGAUUUAGGAAUGGGUGGGAGGGGGUGGUUAUUUGAUUAUGUUUGGAUGAUUUUAGGGGGAAUUAUAGUCUUUAGUUUUUUUAAAAAAAAUUUGGAGGGAGAGGUAUUAAAAUUUUGAUUGAGUUGGAUCUAAAUGAAAGAUAAAAGAAUUUUGUGCAUAAAACAAGCUUUUAUUUUUAAUUUUAAUGAUAAGUAAUAACUAUUAAUUAAGAUGUUUCACCCUCAACUAGUAUUAUAAAAUCUUAAAUAAAGUUAAAAUACAAAUACAAAUAAAUAUAUAUAAAUAUUACUAUUGACUUAGCUUUAAAAGUUAUAAAAUUUAAUUUUUUGUGUUAUGAGACAACAAAAAUCACUAAAUAAUAUAAAUUAAAGUAUUACUAUAUAAGAUAAAAUGUCUAAGUGAAAUUGCAUAUACUAAGUAAAAAAAUAUUCGAAGAGUAUCUUAAUAUAUAAAAGAAAUAGAGGAUAAAAAAAUCACAAUCAAGUUAAAAUAAAAGAAGGAGAAGGAUGUCUCGUGUGUGUGUAUAUAUAAUAAAAUUAACUUUCAACAUUAUAUGUUAUAUAUUAUAUAAUUUGAAAAAAAUACUAUAUAUUAUAUUAUAUUAUAUAAGUUAAUUUCUAAAAGUAACUAAUCUACUAAAUUUUUGGGGCUCGAUAAUCCCGAUAAAUAAUAUUAAAUUGUGGCGAUUUUCUAACCUCCUUAAUAAAACCACCAUAAAAAAAUUUAUAUUGUGGGGUUAUAAUAAAAUGCCACAAAAUGAAUUAUUAGUGGGACUUUUAAAAACUCUCACAAGUUAACCGCCAAAAAAUGAGCAUUUUUUGGUAGUAGUCAUUUUAAUGGAUUGAAGUUGUUUUAAUUAAAAUAUUUGACAUUUUAAUUAUGAUGGGAAUUAAUUUCUUAAAUAGUUAUUCAUGUUAUGAAAAUGACUCAAAAAGUCUUUUUUAAAAAAAAAAUUAAUUUGUGCUAAGAAAAGUCAUUCGUGAUUUGUUCAUUAUCCCACAAAAUAAAUUCUACAGGAAAAGUACUAGAAAAUAAUAUGGAAUGGUCCCUUAUGUUUUGAGAGUAGGUCUAAAGUUGUCCAUUGAUAUAUUUUAUACUAUUAUUUCUGUUUAUAAGUUUUUAAUGGACAUUCGUAAAAAAAUAGCUCAUCGUUGAGGUAUUUUCUACGAAAAGCAUGUCGGAAAUAUUAUUGACGAGCCAAUUUCAAACGAAUAUCAUAAAAAAGUUAUUUUAAAAAAAAAAUAGUGUUUAAGGGAUUUCCGAUGAAUUGUCUGUUAAAAACAUUUUGAACGAAAUUCGCUUUAGUUAAAUAGUAUUUUUGCAUAACUUUAUGUAUAUGUGUUGAAGUAAUUGUAUUGGUGGGAAAUUAUCUCUAUUUCUAUUAACCUUACACAAAUAUUGACGAAAAUCUCACAAUUAAAGAGAUUUUUGAUUGAAACAACAAACAACAACAAUAACAAACCCUCUCCAAUUCCAUAGCUAGGGUCUAAGGAGGGUAAAGUGUACACAUACCUUACUCAUACCUCGUGAAGGUAGAGAGACUGUUUCCAAAAGAUUCUUCACUCAAAUUUUUAAUUGAAAGUCGAUUGUAAAUGUUUCAUACGAGCUAAUAUUUGACGGAAUUUAUCAGAAAUUCUGCUCAUUUUUUAUUUAUUAAGAAAGUAUUUUCUUAUAUUCAAUUUUGUUUUAUUAAUUUUCAUAACCUCAUGUAUAUUGUUGUAUAUGUUAUGUAUAUUAGUGGGUUUUACAUGAUUGGAGUGAUGAAGAAUGCAUACAAAUAUUAACAAAGUGUAGAGAAGCAAUUCCACAAGACAAUGGGAAAGUGAUAAUAUUGGAAGCAAUAAUUGGUGAAAAAGAAGAAAGUAUUAUUAGAGGAUCAACUAAUGAGAAGCUCAAAGAUGUUGGUUUAAUGUUGGAUAUGGUGAUGAUGGCUCACACAACCAAUGGAAAAGAGAGAACUUCUAAAGAAUGGGCUUAUGUUUUGAAUGAAGCUGGAUUUAAUAGACACACAAUUAGUCACAUUAAUGCUGUUCAAUCUGUUAUUCAAGCUUAUCCUUCUUGAUUUUUACGAUGUUCCGAGACGAAUUCAGAAUGUAAACUCUAUUGGUGUAUCUUUAAGGUUGUUAGUAAGCAUUGAACACGCAUGUUUUUUUUUUUAAUAUUAUGAAUUCUAAUCUACUAUUUGCUGCAACAACAUAUCUAGUGUACUGAUCUCAUAAGCAUUGGACAUGCAUGUUGUAUUUUUAUUUUAUGAAUUUAAUCUAUACAAUUUCUUGCAUGAAAUUUGUUGUAUUUUUUCAACUUAUGAACUCAAGCAUAUUAUUAUUAUACUAGAUAUUUGAUGCCCAUGCCAGCACGUGCCCAAUAUAUGUUACUAUUUUUUUCCUCAAUUUAUGUGAUAUAAAGGAGUUUUGAAGAAUCAAUCAAAAAAAAAUUUAUAUGUUUUAUUAAAAAUAUAUUUAAAGUUAUUAAUUUGUUGUGAUGUAUAAUAUUUUUUGUGUAAUUUUUAAAUAAUAUAUGUUACUUCUGUUCCAAUUCACGUGAAUAAUCAUAAAUAUUUUCAGUUGUUAAUUUACUGCGAAUUCUAGAACUUUUGACGUUAUUUUCAAAUAAUAUAUGUUACUUCUUCUAUUUCAAUUAGUCAACCAAAUUUCUUAUAAUAUUUUCAAUUGUUAAUUAUUGUGAUUUAUAACAUCUUUUAUGUAAUUUUUAAAUAAUAAUAUAUAUUAUUUCAUUUGUUCCAAUUCAUAUGGCAAUGAUAAAAUUUUAAGAGUCAACUAAAUUUAUUUAUUUUUUAAAAAGAUUGUACCUCUAAUAUAUUUUGUAGUUAAAAUAUAAUAAAUGUAGUAGUUAAAUUUCAAGAAGUAUAAAAGGUUAAACAAAAGAAUUAGAUACAAAAGAUAGAAAAAUUUUAUGGUGAAAGAGGCACAAAUAUGACUUGAUAUGUGAGGCAUUAUUAUUAAAUUAAAAAAAUAUGUAGGUCCCACCUUUCCUAUUCAAUAUUGUUGUUUUUCUCUCCUGUCUUACUUAAUUUAGGAAUAAAAAAUUAUGUGGGUCCUAUUCAUUUUAUUUUACAUUGUUAUUCUUUUUCCCAUACAUUUGACUCCACAUUCGUUCACUUGUCCAUUUCUUUUUUUUUAUAUAAAAAAUUCUUUUAUUCUUCUUUCCUCUAAUAUUUCAGAUCAAUUUACGUUAUGAAUUUUAUUUAUUCAAUUUUUUUUUAUAUAAUUCGUAUAUUAUUUUUUUCAUAUUUGAUAGUUAACAAGUAUAUUAUUUUAAAUUUUUAAAUUACAUAAAAAUAUGAGAAUAAAAAAUGGUGGAGAAAAUUACAAAAUGAAGAAUAAAACCUUCAUCUACGAAAUAAAAGUUUAGAUAGUCAAUCAACUAAACUAUUAAUAUCCCUCAUUUGGUACAUGUAUUUAAGCAUGAUUGAUUAAUUUUUCACUUAUCAAAUUGAAUUAUUUCAUCAAUUUUUAUAUUAAUAAACCAUUCCAAAUUAAUGAAAAUAGGUUUUUCGAUUUUCUUAAUUUUUUUAUCUUGAUUUGAAACAUUUUACAAUAAAAUGAAUUUUAUUUUUAUGAAAUAUAAUGUAAAUAUCAUACUAUUUUGUAUCAUUAUUAUUUAUUUAAUAUAACUCAUUGUAAACCGUUAUAUAAAAAAAUUAUCAACCAUAAUGCCACAAAAAUGAGAAAUAUAUUACAUAUAUAAAUAUUUGUAUAUACAAAAUAUUGUUUUCCUUUUUUAUGCGUUAAAAUGAUAGUGUUUAUAUAAUUAUUUAUAAUAAAUUGAAGUAGAUAUAAUUGUAUGAAAUAGUGACAUUUGCGUCAUAUUUCAUAAAAAAUAAUUUAAUUUCAGUGUAACAUGUUUCAAAUGGAACUUAAAAAAAACUGAAAAACUUGAUUUUAUUGAUUCGUUGUGGUUUGACAGCGAAAAAAAAACUAACCAAUCAAAUGUAUAUAUACAUAUCAAAUAAACGAUUUUUUAAGCUUAGUUGAUUAACUAUCUAGACAUUCAUUUCAUAGAUGAAAAAAUUUUUAUUUUUAUUUUGCAAUUUCCUCCCAUAUUUUUUUCUUGUAUUCUCAAAUAUAUAAUUUAAAAAAAAAUAAUCAACGUGAUAUUUAUCAAAUGGAGAACAUAUAUAAAAUAUAAAAAUGAUAUAAGAAAAUUGGAUAAAUAAAAUUAACACAUUGAAAAAACUGAUUAAAAAAUUAGACAUAGAAUUAGAAAAAUAAAAAAUAAAAAAUAAAAAGGUGAAAGGAAAGAAAUUACAAAAAGAGGGGGUGACAGGAGAGAGAUAUAACAAUAUAGAAUGAGAAGGAUAGGAGUAAUUGGACCCAUGUAUUUUUGAAUUCAAAAAUAAUGCCUCACAUACCAAGUCAUACUUGUGCGGUUGUGCCUCUCCCACCAUAAUUUUUUUCCAAAACAUAUAUUGAAAACACAUGAUAAAUGAAAAUCAGAAAACACAUGAGAUGAGGAAAAGUAAAUGGGCCUAAAUGAAAGUCUAACAUUUCGGCUGAGAGAUAAGUAAUGGCUGGGUUAAAUUGUCCAAUAAUUAAANNNNNNNNNNNNNNNNNNNNNNNNNNNNNNNNNNNNNNNNNNNNNNNNNNNNNNNNNNNNNNNNNNNNNNNNNNNNNNNNNNNNNNNNNNNNNNNNNNNNNNNNNNNNNNNNNNNNNNNNNUAAUAAUAAUAUAUAUUAUUUCAUUUGUUUCAAUUCAAAUGACAAUGAUAAAAUUUUAAGAGUCAACUAAAUAUUAUUAAUUUUUAAAAAAAGGUUGUACCUCUAAUAUAUUUUGUAGUUAAAAUAUAAUAAAUGUAGUAGUUAAAUUUCAAGAAGUAUAAAAGGUUGAACAAAACAAUUAGAUACAAAACAUAUAUUGAAAACACAUGAUAAAUGAAAAUCAGAAAACACAUGAGAUGAGGAAAAGUAAAUGUGCCUAAAUAAAAGUCUAACAUUUCGGCUGAGAGAUAAGUAAUGGCUGGGUUAAAUUGUCCAAUAAUUAAAGGUACAAUUAUAAAAUAAGCAAGUACAACAUUAUUUAAGCAUAAACAUUAUGCAAAAAUAAAAAAUACCCUUGGCAAGGAAACACACAUGUCGUCAACACUUGUGUGCUUCCUAGUCUCUUGUAUAUAGUAGUAAAGUAAUAGUAAAUCCUAAUGAAUUUUAUAUAUAUAUAUAAAUUUAUAUUAUACAUUGAAUUUAGAUAAAUUCGAUAUUUGAAUGUGACAUCCUACUGAUUGCAUUUGCAUGCAUGUGCCUUUCUCUUAUUGACAUAUUUUGUUUGUCCGAAUAGGGUAAAGAGUUUUGAUCGAUUUUUACUAUUUAAAAAAGAAGUAAAUAAAACAUGAAAAAUGAGUCGAAAAAUAAUUUAUAAAAGAAAAAAGAACAAAAAUAGUCCCUUUUGUCUAGAAUAUGUUUAAAAUGAUCAUUUAAAUAUAAUUUUGAAUAGUUUUGUCUAUUAUAUUUAUCAAAGUAAAUGUUUUUUUAUACUAAUAAAUCCUGAUAGUUAGAUUUAACGAGAAUUACCAUAAAACUUAACAAGAGCUCAUAUUUGGAUGUACAUUUCUUAUAUCCUUUUAUUUACUAUUUUAGUUUAUUUAUAUUACAAUUUUUUCUAUUUUUGAUUUAUUACAUUUCUAAAAUUUGACGUACUAUAAUUAUUUAACGAGUUUGUCAAAAAUCUAAUUUUAAUCUAUCAUUUUUUAUUUGGACCAAAUAAAUCCUCGUUAUAUGUAUAGUACAUAUUUUAUAAACAUAAUUUGUAUUUAAAUUGUAAUAUUUCAAACUUUAAACAUAUUUUAAAUUUAGAAUCUUGUUAUUUUUAAUAAUCUAUUUUAUUUUUAUUUGUCCCACGGGCCGGCCCUAUCCAUAUUUCUCAAGCCCCACAAAUCGACAAACUUAUUCAGGCCGGGUUAAAAAGCCCUUUUCUUAAAUGGGCUCCAAAAAUCGUAGUCCAACCCUAUCAAAUCACGGGUUAGGCCAGGCCAGCCCAACGGGCCUAGCCCAUAUUGACGGCUCUAAUCGCAUGACCUCUAAAUCAAGUAUCCAAACUAGCCCAACCCAACUCGAUUGAACCCGGUAACCAACUCUGGGUCUAAAACCGGCCGAGUUGUAUCAUAUUAAACAUCUCAUCUAAACAAUUUUAAGAAAUUGCAUCUAUUUAACUUCCUUAAUAGAGGAUUGGAUGGGGUGGGAGUUUGUGGGAGGGUGGGGUGUCACCACUCACAUUGAUUAGUAUGUUAUUUCAAUUACUUUAUGAAUUUUUUUUUAUAAGAGUUCUUAAUGAAAACAUUAUAUGAUCUUUUUUUUUGUUUUUCGGCUAGUAUUUGGUAUCUAUAUCGAAACUUGACUAAAUCUGGAUUCACGUCGAAAUAGAUAAAACUCUCUCUAAUAAAGAUGAUUCCGUCUCAAGAAGACUCCAACUCAAGAUCUCUAAUUAAAAAUGAAGGAAUACUUACCAGUUACACGUGGAUAACACUUUAUUUAUUUUAUUCUAAGAAGCCAAAGCUAGGUAUCAAAUCCUAAUAACUGGACAUUUCUAUAAUUUGGUUUGGUGGUACUAAUUGUCGUCUGAUGAUUAGUUAAUAUAUUAAAGAUUGAAAAAUCUUUCAUUUGCUUUGAAAAAUCUAUAAUUUAAUUGGGUCAAAUUUAAUGUUCUUGUCCAUUUGAAACUACUCAGUUUGUGUUGCGUGACAUUUAUUCAUCAUACAGAAACCAAAAUUCAGAUAUAUAAACUAUAGUAUUAAUUUACAUAUAAAAGAAAUAUAUAGAAGUACGUAGUUUUGUUUGUUGGGUUCUUGAAAUGUGAAGGGAUAUAAGGAGUGCAUGUGAUAAAGAACACAUGGUGUAUAUGGGCAAUUAUCAAACUCUCAUUUUCAAAUUUUUUACUCAAACGAUUUUUUUUAUUUUUUUAAAAAAAGCAUGCAAAACGCAGGUGGGACUGCGCCUUGUAAGGCUAAAAGCUGCCAUAGCCUUGUAAGGCGCAUGGACCCUGAUUUAGACGCCAUUAAAAUUUGUUGCCCUUUUGGUUUCAUAAAUAAUUUAGUUGCCCUUUUGAAAAUUUUGAAAUUUUUUAUUGUCAUUUUGGUUCCGGACUCGACUUUUGGUGAUGAUAAAGAGCCAUACAUUUUCUCUUGCAUGAGAUUCUUGUUUUCUCAUGUUAUUUUAAAGUUUCGAUUCAUGUGACAGUAUAUUUUAAAGAUAAAACUUAAAAUUGGAAAAAUUGAUUUGUUUAGAAAUGCAUUUUACAUUUUAAAAAUAAAAUUUUGCAAAUGGGACCCCAAAAAUGUAAAAAACAGUUUUGGGGCACUUGUAAAUAUUUGAAAAGAAAAUAAUCAAAUUUCACAAUCAAAACAGAUAAUUGAAUAUAAAUUUCAAAAUCUAUGGACAACACUAGCUUAGUGUAUUUUACAUCUUCAUUUGAAAUAUCAGAAGCUUAUUUCAGUAUGUAUUUGAUACGAUGGAAAUUUUUCAGAAAAAUAAAUUAAACUCUUACUUGUUUUUUUGUAUUUUUUAUGAAAAUAAAAAAUAUUGUACUAAAAACAUUUAUAUAAUUUAGACAACUAUUAUUAUAGAGGCGGAGGGGGUGGGAGUAGAGAUGGUAUGGGGAUGGAGCCUACAAUGGUGGGUGAAGAUAAGACAUUUUGAAGGGUGUUAAGAACACAUUUAAUAUACAAAAAGCAAAGAAAAAAAAAAUACAUUCACGACCAAAGAAAAAAAAUACUUUUUUAAAGUAGAAAUAAUGGGCUUUCCCAAAAGUAAAAAAGAAACAUCAUUUGUACAAUUAUUUACAUAUUUUCGCUGAUAAAGUUACUUUUUUCCGUUUUAAAAGAUUUUUUAUUUUUACAAAAAAUAUUCAAUUUUUUUAACCAUUAAAAAAAAUCUAUAUCAACACACCCUUCAAGAAACAUGUUGAGCCAGAGGGUCAUUUUGAAAAAUGUGGUGUACCUAACAUAUAUUUAUGAUUAAUGACAGAAAUUACAUACAACAACUACAAGACAAGGAUAUAUAUAAUUAUUUACAUGCAUAAUUUGCCCAGAUAAAUUAAUUCGUAUCGAUAGAUUGAUUUGAUUAAGCUUAUAAGUUGGUCAAUAUAUUUAAUAAAUAUUCAAAAUAUUUAUAAGUUAUGUGGUUAUAAAUCAAAUUAACUAAAGGCGGAAUAACCUAGGAGACCCUUAUACUUGACUUGAAUUGUCAACUGGACCCUUCUACUCACGAUUUUGCCAACUGAACACUUAAACUCAAUGAAACACAAUCUUUAAACCCUUUUGACUUCGCGUGCACUUCAAACACAAUGAAAAUGACAUAUCAUGAUCCACAUCAGACUUUUAGUGACACGUCACUUAUUUUUACUUUAUUUAAGAAAUUUAAUUUUUUCUUUUCACUUAUUUUAUACUUCUUUAAAAUUUUCAUUUUUUUCUUUUUCACUCCGUUUCUUCCUCACACUAACUUUAUCCUAGACCAUCUCUCUCCAUUUUUCCACCAAAGACACCAUGGCCAUCUUAUAUCCUUAUUCCUUACUGGUUAUCACUACCUAAAAUAACUAAAAUUAUCGUUGUUCUCCAAGUUUUCAUCGCUCAUAAUUUUUCACCAUUAUUUUUUUUUACCAAGGUCUUCAUCCACCACUUGAACCAUUGUGAAUUUGUUUCCUCCAUUAAUGCCAAUGAACUACACUAAAAUAUCUUAAUAUGUUCUAAUAUAUAUAUACAUGUUCUACUUAAUUUUACAAAGACAUACAAUAAUCAUUCUUCACUCUCCAAAAUAAUCAGAUCUCUAUCAACUAGCCGCAUGUAAAUUACCCCUCCCCAUUCUCCCAAUAGCUUCUCUUUAUAUAUUUUUAUCUCACAAAAAUCGAAAUAACUACUUCUAAAAAAGGAUUUCUGGAAUACUUUUCGCAAACAUAUAUUAAAGAUUAUAAAAAUGGGGACAGGGAGCAAGACAGAAAAAUGGGGACUAGGUGGCCGUGGGGGAAGAACGAUAGCGGUGUUGGGCAGGAAAGAAAAGAAAAUGGGGAAAAGGAUAUUUGUCUUUUUUUAAAAAAAAAUUAGUUUGAGUCUCAAAUUUUCCUGUUUACGCUUCUUUUAACGCGUGAGAUCACACGUUUGUUCCACCUCGACUAUUAAGUUGCCACAUAGGAUUGGUCAACUGUAGGGUUUAAAUUAUUAUGUUUCAUUGAGUUUAAAUGUUCAAUUGACGAAGUCAUGAGUAGAAGGGUGUAGUUGACAAUCUGAGCCAAGUAUAAGGGUCUUACAAGUCAUUCCGCCUUAACUAAAAACAACAACUUGCUUAUAACUAUUUUAUUUUACUAUUCUAUGUUUUUUCAACGUCUUUUUCUAAUUCUUAAAAUACUUUAUAUAGCAUAAAACGUGAAACUCCAUCUUCACGUCUUAUUCAUUCUUUUUCAUUUUCUUGGUAAAGACAUUUUUAAAUUUAUAAUUAUAUUUUAUCAUUUGCCCUUUAGUAUAAAAUGAUAAUUUUAAGUUAUCAUCGCGAUAAAAGUGGGUAUUUAUGCACUUAAUGGACUAAUCCAUCAUUAGUUUCUUUUUAAUUCUAAUUAAAUAUUAUAGUUUGUAGCCGAUUCAAAUGUCAAAUUAAAUUCAAUUGAACUCUUAAUUAUCAAUGGAGGACAUAAUGUUCCUCGUCCAAUAGUAAAUGGACUAACACAUCAUUAGUUCCUCUUAAUUUCGAUCCAAUCUUAUGGUUCACGAUCAAUCAAACCCCUAAUUAAAUCCAAUUAAAUUCUUAAUUUUCAAUUGAGGGCAAAAGAGUUCCUCGUUGAAUAUCAAAAGGAUAAUUUUGAUCCUCUGUCGAUUUAACAAAAAAAGGGGCUUGUCAAUAUUAUUUUACAAUCAAAUACAUUAACAAUGUUAUAUUAUCAAUUUUAGAGAUCUUUCUUGAGGUUUAACUUCGUAUUCAUAACACUACCUUCCUUUUGUAAUUUAAGUAUCACACUUCUCUCCCAUAUCAUUUUUCUCUUUAUAAAACAAUUCUAUUAAUAUAUUUAUUUUAAAUAUAAAAAUAAAAUAAUGAUGAACUUUCCUUUAUAUAUACUUUUUUUAUUUGACAAAUAAAUGUAAAUUCAUUAGCUGAAAAUAUUGUCGUGUUACACGUUUUGUUCCUGUGGAGCCAGUGAAUAUUUUUCCUGAUGAAAAAUCUGAAAUGGGGGAUGAUAUCUCAAAAUGAAAUUUUAUUCAUUUGAAAUUUAGAAAAAAAAUUAUACUUUUUUUAAAAGAAAUUAAUUGUAAGUGCAAACAAGAAAAAAUAAUUAAUUCUAUCUUUAUUUUAUAAAUUAACAAGUAAUUUAUAUUUACUAUAUAUAGUAAUGUGGACAAUUAAUAUAAAUGAAGUGAGUAUUUUAUUUAAAUGAGACCGAAGAGAAGAUACCUUAGUGAGCAACGAUCUAAAUUUGAACUUCUCUACCUACUUUUUCGAUCGAAUUGGUCGUAAUAAAUUUGUCUAAUAUAAUUUACUUCGCAAACUAUUAUACUAAAGCUAAAUUUAUCUCGUACACGUACACAAAUAAUUAAUAGUCUUUUUAUGAAAAUAAAAAUCUCUAAUGAUGUUAUCAAGACUCCAGAAGAUCUUAAUUUUUUGAUAACUUAAAUGAUAAACCUUCCACGUAUUAUAUAGUACUGGAUUAAAUAUAAUGGAGUAGUUACAUUAUUAAUCUUAAUUAUUUAAAAAAUCUUAAACUUGUAGAACCAAUUUUAAUAUGAAUUCUUAUACAACUAAAUUGACAUAUCAAUUUAACAUUAUUUUAUUUUUCUUUCGGCAGAGGGGUACUAUUCUGAAAAAAAUAUAUAUUAAAGUAAUGCAAAAAAUACGUAGUGGGUGUAUAUUUUUAUUUUAAUCCUCGUAAUAUUUUGUUAAGCAGAUUUAAUCUUCAAUUUAUCAAAAUGUGGUAUUGGUGGUUUAUUUUUAGAAGUAUGUUAUUAUCGAACAUGAAGUAAUCAUACAAGUUUAACAUAACAUGUUUUGAAACUAAAUAAAUUGUGAAACAUUUAAUAAUUCUUAAAAUUCAUGAAUAUUCCCAUGUAAGUAAAUCAAAUAUGCAUGAUUCAAGUAAUUAAAGAUUAAAUAUGCUUAGUCAAAUAUCGGUCACGAAAGUAAAACUAAAAUUAAAUUUUACCAAUAACUCACAACUUGUUUAUAAGAUGAGUAUUAUGUAUUGCUUCAUGACACAUUGUAUUGUAUCAUUUUGAUAUAUAUAUAACUUAUAUUGGUUUCGUGUUGAUAAUAAAAUUUACAUUAUUAUAUGUAUAAAAAUUAAAAAUGUAUGAUACAAUAACAAUCAAAACGAAUCAUUAUAUUUAUAAAGCAAAAAUAAUGGUACGUUAUUAUACCAUAUAAUAUAACAAAUAACAAUUAGAGGCGUACGCUUUUAGGAUCUCGUUACAAUGAAUAUAAUAUUAUAUUUAUCAGAAGAUAUACAAUACAAAAAGUUUAAAUCUCAUGUCCAAACAAAACUUUAACUUCAUCUCAUGAUUUCAUAUUAUGAUUUCAUAUCAUAUCAUAAUUUCAUAUUGCAUGACCAAACAAGCCCUAAGAUAUCAAAGGUAUUGAAAUCGAUUGAAUGCAUUGACUGUAUAUAAUAUCAUCCAAUAUUACUAAUUUUAAUACAUACAUUUGGCUAAUUAUAGUAAAAAAUUACAAUACUAAAAAUAGUUGAGAAAUUUCCAAUAUGAUAGACUUGAAAUUUUUUGAAAGAUUGAUGCAAUAAAAAAAAUAGUUUAAAACGUCAAAAAUGCUACCAAUAAUCACUUAGAAGAGAGGUGUCGCCCAAUAAAUCUUAUAUUGGUUUUCGUGUUGUUUCAUCAUCACAUACUAGCAGUUUGAAGAAUAAAUUUUACAUUAUUAUAUGUAUAAAAAUAAAAAAGGCAUGAUACAAUAACAAUCCAAACAAUCAUUAUAUUUAUAAAGCAAAAAUAAUCGUACGUUAUGAUACCAUAAAAUAUAACAAAUAACAAUUAGAGGCGUACGUAUUUAGGAUCUCGUUACAAUGAAUAUAAUAUUAUGUUUAUGAGAAGAUAUACGAUACAAAAAAUUUAAAUCGCAUGUUCAAACAAAACUUUAACUUCAUCUCAUGAUUUCAUAUUAUGAUUUCAUAUCAUAUCAUAAUUUCAUAUUACAUGACCAAACAAUCCCUAAGAUAUCGAAGGUAUUGAAAUCGAUUGAAUGCAUUGACUGUAUAUAAUAUCAUCCAAUACUACUAAUUUUAAUACAUACAUUUGGCUAAUUAUAGUAAAAAAUUACAAUACUAAAAAUAGUUGAGAAAUUUCCAAUAUGAUAGACUUGAAAUUUUUUGAAAGAUUGAUGCAAUAAAAAAAGAAGAAGUUUAAAACGUCAAAAAUGCUACCAAUAAUCACUUAGAAGAGAGGUGUCGCUCAAUUUUUUUUUAAAAGAACAAAAUAAAUGUAAGAUUCAAAUUUCUAACAUCACUUAGAAAGACAUCUGCGCCCAAUAAUGAUUGCAUUAUAUCAUACUUUAUGUAUGUUCACCGGUUAUUUUUCAAUAUAACACUAAUAUAUAUGAUCUCGGAAGAGGAACAUAGAUUUACGUGUAAUCCCCUUGAUACGCCCGUGAUAACAACAAUCCAACAUGUUGUACUAAAAUAUUAAUAAUUUAAAGAUUGAUUUUAUUGCUUUAAAUAGCCUAACAAGUUCAUUGAAGUAUUCCCAAGAACCAACAAAAACACUAAUUAAUUAAGCUUUUCUUCACCAUGGAGAAACAAACAAAUGGAAAAGCAAGAACAAAUGAUGAAGAAAAAAUUCAAGAAUCUCAUGAAGCACAAGCAAAUAUGUGGAAAUUUGUGUUUGGUUUCACAGAAUUGGCUGUGAUUAAAUGUGCCAUUGAGUUAGGAAUUGCUGAUUUUUUGGAAAAAAAUCAAGAACCUAUUAGCCUAAAUCAACUUUCUGUUGCACUUGGUUGUUGUUCCUCUUCCCUCUAUCGUAUCCUAAGGUAUGAUUAAUUAGUUUGUAAUUUGUUAUUCUGUCUGUUUCAAUUUACGUGACAGUGUUUAGGUAUAUAUACAAGAAAUUUGAUUUUUUAAAAUAUUUGUGUGACUGUAAUUGAGCAUCUCAUUAUAUUAAGAGACUAGUCCACGAAGGAUUGUAGUGAAGAGGUUAGUACAGACUCAUAUUCAUGCAUUCUUAACUAGAGAUCUUAUGCUCGAUUCCUGAGUAUGAAGUUCUCUUAGGUAGAAAAUGUCUUAUCCUACUAAUUAACAUCGGGAGGGAAAAAUUAUUGAACUAAUGAAAAGCUUAAAGUUAAGUUAUUUUUAAAUAAGGAUAUGAAGAAUUAUUUUUAGUUAAGACAGACUAAAAAAAAGUAUCAACACUCAAACCUCUUUAUAAUAUCAUCAUUUGUUUGGAUUUUUUUUUUAAUAGUGAAACGAUGCUAUAGAAAUUAAAUGGUAUAGCAUAAGAUGAAACAUCGGUUCUAAGGAAAACUUGACAGUUAUUGUGAAAUAUUGUUAUAAAGAGAUAUGAUUGUAGAUAUUUGUUAUAAAAAUAAUAAUGUUAAUAAUAUGUACAUAUUUUAUAGGUUCUUGAUCAACCGUGGAAUAUUCAAGGAGACAUCAACCAAAAGCGGCAAAAGCGGCUAUGUUCAAACGCCUCUUUCCCGCCUUCUCAUUAAAGAAGGCGAGAAUAGCAUGGCUGCUUUCCUACUAUUUGAAAGCAGCCCUGUGAUGUUGGCAUCGUGGCACAAUCUUAGUGCACGUAUUUCAUCAAAGGACAAUAGUCUGUCCUCCUUUGAAGCUGCUCAUGGAAAGGAUGUCUGGAAGUACGCGGAAGCUGACCCUAAACACAGUAACCUCUUGAACAAUGCAAUGGCGUGUGACGCUAGAAUAGCAAUAUCUGCGAUUAUUGACGAUUGCCCCGAGAUAUUCAAGGGGGUGAACACGAUAGUUGAUGUUGGUGGUGGUGAUGGAACAACACUUAGAUUAUUGGUGGAGGCUUUUCCUUGGAUUAAUGGGAUUAAUUUUGAUCUCCCUCAUGUUGCUUCUGUUGCACCUCAUGCUAUUGGUGUUGUACAUGUUGGAGAUGACAUGUUUAAUUAUGUUCCCAAAGCUGAUGCGGCCUUCCUCAUGGUAAUUACUACUUCCGUCUCAUAUUAGAUGGACAUCUUGCUAAAAAUAUAUGUUUCAUAUUACUUGAUCUUUUACUAAUUAAUCAGGAUAGAAUGAAUUAUUUUUUUCCAUUUUACCCCUACAAUUAAUAUGACCUUUGGAAGUUUAAACAAAUUUUGAAGAUCCAGAUUUUUUUUUUGAAGAGGCUAAUUAAUAUAAAUAAAUAAUACAAUAGUAAUGUUGAUCAAUCUAUUAAUAAUUUUUUAAUUACAGGUUAAAAUAGAAAGUUAAUUCCCAUCUAAUAUGGGACGGAGGAAAUAGAUAUUAAUAGUAGUCAUUUUAAUGGAUUGAAUUUGUUUUAAUUAAAAUAUUUGACAUUUUAAUUAUGAUGGGAAUUAAUUUCUUAAAUGGAAAAGGGUCAAAAUUGCCUCCGAACUAUAUGAAUACGACCAUUUAUACCUUUCGUUAAUGCUACGAAAAGUCAUUUGUGAUUUGUCCAUUAUCUCACAAAAUAAUUUCUACAGGAAAAAGUACUAGAAAAUAAUAUGGAAUGAUCCCUUAUGUUUGAGAGUAGGUCUAAAGUUGUCCAUUGAUAUAUUUUAUAUUAUCUCUCUUUACAAGUUUCUAAUGGACCUCCCUUAAAAAAUAAAAAAAUAGCUCAUCGUUAAGGGAUUUUCAAUAAAGCAUGUCGGAAACAUUAUUGACGAGCCAAUUUCAAACGAAUUUCAUAAAAAAAGAUAUUUUUAAAAAAAAAUAGUGUUUAAGGGAUUCCCGAUGAAUUGUCUGUUAAAAACAUUUUCAAAAUUCGGUUUAGUUAAAUAGUAUUUUUGCAUAACUUCAUGUAUAUAUGUUGAAGUGAUUGUAUUGGUGGGAAAUUAUCUCUAUUUCUAUUAACCUUACACAAAUUUCUGACGAAAAUCUUAAAAGAGAUUUUUGAUUGAAACAACAAACAACAACAAUAAUAACAAACCCACUCCAAUCCCAUAGCUAGAGUCUAGGGAGGGCAAAGUGUACACAUACUUUACUCAUAUCUCGUGGAGGUAAAUAGACCAUUUCCAAAAGUCUCUUAACUCGGAUUUUUAAAUAAAAGUGCAUCGUAAUUGUUUCUAACAGGCUAAUUUUUGAGGGAUUUUGUCAGAAAAUCUACUUAUUUUUAAUUUAUUUUUCUAGGAAGUAUUUCUUAUAUUCAAUUUUGUUGUUAAUUUUCAUAACCUCAUGUAUAUUGUUGUAUAUAUUAUGCAUAUUAGUGGGUUUUACAUGAUUGGAGUGAUGAAGAAUGCAUACAAAUAUUAACAAAGUGUAGGAGACGAAUUCAGAAUGUAAACUCUAUUGGUUUAUCUUUAAGGUNNNNNNNNNNNNNNNNNNNNNNNNNNNNNNNNNNNNNNNNNNNNNNNNNNNNNNNNNNNNNNNNNNNNNNNNNNNNNNNNNNNNNNNNNNNNNNNNNNNNNNNNNNNNNNNNNNNNNNNNNNNNNNNNNNNNNNNNNNNNNNNNNNNNNNNNNNNNNNNNNNNNNNNNNNNNNNNNNNNNNNNNNNNNNNNNNNNNNNNNNNNNNNNNNNNNNNNNNNNNNNNNNNNNNNNNNNNNNNNNNNNNNNNNNNNNNNNNNNNNNNNNNNNNNNNNNNNNNNNNNNNNNNNNNNNNNNNNNNNNNNNNNNNNNNNNNNNNNNNNNNNNNNNNNNNNNNNNNNNNNNNNNNNNNNNNNNNNNNNNNNNNNNNNNNNNNNNNNNNNNNNNNUUUAAAAAUAUAUUUGAAGUUAUUAAUUUAUUAAUUUGUUGUGAUUUAUAGUAUUUUUUGUGUAAUUUUUUAAAUAAUAUAUGUUACUUCUGUUCCAAUUCACGUGAAUAAUCAUAAAUAUUUUCAGUUGUUAAUUUACUGCGAAUUCUAGAACUUUUGACGUUAUUUUCAAAUAAUAUAUGUUACUUCUUCUAUUUCAAUUAGUCAACCAAAUUUCUUAUAAUAUUUUCAAUUGUUAAUUAUUGUGAUUUAUAACAUUUUUUAUGUAAUUUUAAUAAUAAUAUAUAUUAUUUCAUUUGUUCCAAUUCAUAUGACAAUGAUGAAAUUUUAAGAGUCAACUAAAUAUUUUUUUUUAAAAAAAGAAGGUUGUACCUCUAAUAUAUUUUGUAGUUAAAAUAAUAAAUGUAGUAGUUAAAUUUCAAGAAGUAUAACAGGUUGAACAAAAGAAUUAGAUACAAAACAUAAACAAAUUUUAUGGUGGAAGAGGCACAAAUAUGACUUGAUAUGUGAGGCAUUAUUUUAAAUUAAAAAAUAUGUAGGUCCCACCUUUCCUAUUCAAUAUCGUUUUAUUUUAGUUAAAUUGUAUUUUUGCAUAACUUCAUGUAUAUAUGUUGAAGUAAUUGAAUUGGUGGGAAAUUAUCUCUAUUUCUAUAAAUUUCUGAUGAAAAUCUCACCGUUAAAGACAUUUUUGAUUGAAACAACAAACAACAACAACAAUAACAAACCCUCUCCAAUUCCAUAGCUAGGGUCUAAGGAGGGUAAAGUGUACACAUACCUUACUCAUAGCUCGUGAAGGUAGAGAGACUGUUUCCAAAAGAUUUCACUCAGAUUUUUAAUCGAAAGUCGAUCGUAAAUAUUUCGUACAAGUUAAUAUUUGACGGAAUUUAUCAGAAAAUCUACUUAUUUUUAAUUUAUUAAGAAAUUAUUUUCUUAUAUUCAUUUUUGUUGUUAAUUUUCAUAACCUCAUGUAUAUUGUUGUAAAUGUUAUGUAUAUUAGUGGGUUUUACAUGAUUGGAGUGAUGAAGAAUGCAUACAAAUAUUAACAAAGUGUAGAGAAGCAAUUCCACAAGAUAAUGGGAAAGUGAAAAUAUUGGAAGCAAUAAUUGGUGAAAAAGAAGAAAAUAUUAUAAGAGGAUCAAAUAAUAAGAAGCUCAAAGAUGUUGGUUUAAUGUUGGAUAUGGUGAUGAUGGCUCACACAAGCAAUGGAAAAGAGAGAACUACAAAAGAAUGGGCUUAUGUUUUGAAUGAAGCUGGAUUUAAUAGACACACAAUUAGUCACAUUAAUGUUGUUCAAUCUGUUAUUCAAGCUUAUCCUUCUAGAUUUUUACCGUGUUCGGAGACGAAUUUAAAAUGUAAACUCUGUUGGUUUAUCUUUAAGGUUCUUAAAAAGCAUUGAAGUCGUUGUAUUUUUGAAAUUAUUAAUUUAAAUCUGCUAUUUGUUGCAACAACAUAUCUAGUGUAUUGAUCUUAUAAGUGAAGUUUGAUGAAGGUAGAGGUACAUAUACCUUACUCUUACCUCGUGAAGGUAGAUAGACUAUAUUCGAAAGACCUUCGACUUAUUGUUCAAGUGCAUCAAAUCAAACCUACUAUUUGUUGCAACGAAAAUAAUGUCAACUCACAUGUGAAGUCUGAGAAAGAUAAAACUAUAGAGACUUUAAAUAUAUAUAUAAUAAUAACUUGAAAAUAUUGAUGUGUGGUUCUUAUUCAAAACUUAUGUUCUGAAAUCUGAUCAAUGCAUGUGGGAUUUAAUACACACUAUAUCAAUCAAAUUAAUGCUGGUCAAUUAUUCAAGCUGAUCCUUAUGUUUUAUUACUACUGUUAGACAUUGAUUUAAAAUUUAAAAUUUAUGAAUUUAAUCUACACAACUUCUAGCAUGAAAUUUGUUGUAUUUUCAACUUACGAAUUCGAGCAUAUUAUUAUUAUAAUCCUAAUGGAUUCAUAUAUAUAAAUUCGCAUUUUACAUUGAACUUAGAUAAAUUUUAUAUUUGAAUGUGACAUCCUACUGAUUGCAUUUGCAUGCAUGUGCCAUUCUCUUAUUGACAUUUUUUUGUUUGUUCGAAAAGGGUAUAGAGUUUGAUCGUUUUUUACUAUUUUAAAAAAGGGAAAAAGGACAAAUAUGGAAUGGUCCCUUGUGUUUUGAGAGUAGGUCUAAAGUUGUCCACUGAUAUAUUUUAUACUAUUAUUUCUAUUUACAAGUUUUUAAUGGACAUUCGUAAAAAAAUAGCUUAUCGUUGAGAGAUUUUCUAUGAAAAGCAUGUCGGAAACAUUAUUGACGAGCCAAUUUCAAACGAAUUUAAUAAAAAAGUUAUUUUAAAAAAAAAUAGUGUUUACUGGAUUUCCGAUGAAUUGUCUGUUAAAAACAUUUUGAACGAAAUUCGCUUUAGUUAAAUAGUAUUUUUGCAUAACUUUAUGUAUAUGUGUUGAAGUAAUUGUAUUGGUGGGAAAUUAUCUUUAUUUCUAUUAACCUUACACAAAUAUUGACGAAAAUCUCACCGUUAAAGACAUUUUUGAUUGAAACAACAAACAACAACAACAAUAACAAACCCUCUCCAAUCCCAUAGCUAGGGUCUAAGGAGGAUAAAGUGUACACAUACCUUACUCAUACCUCGUGAAGGUAGAGAGACUGUUUCCAAAAGAUUCAUCACUCAGAUUUUUAAUUGAAAGUCGAUCGUAAAUGUUUCGUACGAGCUAAUAUUUGACAGAAUUUAUCAGAAAUUCUAGUCAUUUUUAAUUUAUUAGGAAAGUAUUUUCUUAUAUUCAAUUUUGUUUUAUUAAUUUUCAUAACCUCAUGUAUAUUGUUGUAUAUGUUAUGUAUAUUAGUGGGUUUUACAUGAUUGGAGUGAUGAAGAAUGCAUACAAAUAUUAACAAAGUGUAGAGAAGCAAUUCCACAAGACAAUGGGAAAGUGAUAAUAUUGGAAGCAAUAGUUGGUGAAAAAGAAGAAAGUAUUAUUAGAGGAUCAAAUAAUGAGAAGCUCAAAGAUGGUUUAAUGUUGGAUAUGGUGAUGAUGGCUCACACAACCAAUGGAAAAGAGAGAACUUCUAAAGAAUGGGCUUAUGUUUUGAAUGAAGCUGGAUUUAAUAGACACACAAUUAGUCACAUUAAUGCUGUUCAAUCUGUUAUUCAAGCUUAUCCUUCUUGAUUUUUACGAUGUUCGAAGAUGAAUUCAGAAUGUAAACUCUAUCUUUAAGGUUCUUAGUAAGCAUUGAACACGCAUAUUGUUUUUUUAAUAUUAUGAAUUCUAAUCUACUAUUUGCUGCAACAACAUAUCUAGUGUACUGAUCUCAUUAAGCAUUGAACACGCAUGUUGUAUUUUUAUUUUAUGAAUUUAAUCUAUACAAUUUCUAGCAUGAAAUUUGUUGUAUUUUUCAACUUAUGAACUCAAGCAUAUUAUUAUUAUACUAGAUAUUUGAUGCCAUGCCAGCACAUGCCCAAAUAUAUAUGUUACUAUUUUUUCCCUCAAAUUUAUGUGAUAUAAAGGAAUUUUGAAGAAUCAAUCAAAAAAAAUUAUAUGUUUUAUUAAAAAUAUAUUUGAAGUUAUUAAUUUGUUUUGAUUUAUAGUAUUUUUUGCGUCAUUUUUAAAUAAUAUAUGUUACUUCUGUUUCAAUUCACGUGAAUAAUCAUAAAUAUUUUCAGUUGUUAAUUUACUGCGAAAUUCUAGAACUUUUGACGUUAUUUUCAAAUAAUAUAUGUUACUUCUUCUAUUUCAAUUAGUCAACCAAAUUUCUAUAAUAUUUUCAAUUGUUAAUUAUUGUGAUUUAUAACAUCUUUUAUGUAAUUUUAAUAAUAAUAUAUAUUAUUUCAUUUGUUCCAAUUCAUAUAACAAUGAUAAAAUUUUAAGAGCCAACUAAAUAUUUUUUUUAAAAAAAAAGAAGGUUGUACCUCUAAUAUAUUUUGUAGUUAAAAUAUAAUAAAUAUAGUAGUUAAAUUUCAAGAAGUAUAACAUGUUGAACAAAAGAAUUAGAUACAAAACAUAGACAAAUUUUAUGGCGGAAGACGCACAAAUAUGACUUGAUAUGUGAGGCAUUAUUUUUAAAUUAAAAAAAUAUGUACGCCCCACCUUUCUUAUUCAAUAUUGUUGUUUCUCUCUCCUGUCUUACUUAAUUUAUGAACAAAAAAAUAUGUGGGUCCUAUUCGUUUUAUUUUACAUUGUUAUUCCUUUUCCCAUACAUUUUACUCCACAUUCGUACACUUGUCCAUUUCUUUUCUUUUCCCUUUUUUUUUUUAUAAAAAAAUCUUUUAUUCUUCAUUCCUCUAAUAUUUCAGAUCAAUUUUAAGUUAUGAAUUUUAUCUAUUCAAUUUUUUUUAUAUAAUUCGUAUAUUUAUUUUUUUCAUAAUUGAUAGUUAACAAAUAUAUUAUUUUUAAAUUUUUUAAAUUACAUAAAAAUAUGAGAAUAAAAAAUGGAGGAGAAAAUUACAAAAUGAAGAAUAAAACCUUCAUCUACGAAAUAAAAGUUUAGAUAGUCAAUCAACUCGUUAUAUAAAAAACUAUCAACCAUAAUGCCACAAAAAUGGGAAAUAUAUAUUAUAUAUAUAUAUAUAUAUUAAUAGUUGUAUAUACAAAAUAUUGUUUUCCUUGUUUAUGCGUUAAAAUGAUAGUGUUUAUAUAAUUAUUUAUAAUAAAUUGAAGUAGAUAUAAUUGUAUGAAAUAGUGACAUUUGCGUCAUAUUUCAUAAAAAUAAUAAUUUAAUUUCAGUGUAACAUGUUUCAAAUGGAACUUAAAAAAAACUGAGAAAAUUAAAAAACUUGUUUUUAUUGAUUCGUUGUGGUUUGACAGUGAAAAAAAACACUAACCAAUCAAAUGUAUAUAUACAUAAAAGAAAAAAGAACAAAAAUAGUCCCUUGUGUCUAGAAUAUGUUUAAAAUGAUCAUGUAAAUAUAAUUUUGAAUAGUUUUGUCUAUUAUAUUUAUUAAAGUAAAUGUUUUUAUACUAAUAAAUCCUGAUAGUUAGAUUUAACAAGAAUUACCAUAAAACUUAACAAGAGCUCGUAUUUGGAUGUACAUUUCUUAUAUCCUUUUAUUUACUAUUUUAGUUUAUUUAUAUUACAAUUUUUUCUAUUUUUGUUUAUUACAUUUCUAAAAUUUGACAUACUAUAAUUGUUUAACGAGUCUAUCAGAAAUCUAAUUUUAAUCUAUCAUUUUAUAUUUGGACCAAAAGAAUUAGAUACAAAACAUAUAUUGAAAACGCAUGAUAAAUGAAAAUCAGAAAACACACGAGAUGAGGAAAAGUAAAUGUGCCUAAAUGAAAGUCUAACAUUUCGGCUGAGAGAUAAGUAAUAGCUGGGUUAAAUUGUCCAAUAAUUAAAGGUAUAAUUAUAAAAUAAGCAAGUACAACAUUAUUUAAGCAUAAACAUUGUGCAAAAAUCAAAAAUACCCUUGGCAAGGAAGCACACAUGUCGUCCAACACUUGUGUGCUUCCUAGUCUCUUAUAUAUAUAUAGUAGUAAUAAUAGUAAAUCCUAAUGAAUUGUUUAUAUAUAUAAAUUUAUAUUAUACAUUGAAUUUAGAUAAAUUCGAUAUUUGAAUGUGACAUCCUACUGAUUGCAUUUGCAUGCAUGUGCCUUUCUCUUAUUGACAUAUUUUUGUUUGUCUGAAUAGGGUAAAGAGUUUUGAUUGAUUUUUACUAUUUAAAAAAAGAAGUAAAUAAAACAUGAAAAAUGACUCUAAAAAUAAUUUAUAAAAGAAAAAAGAACAAAAAUAGUCCCUUGUGUCUAGAAUAUGUUUAAAAUGAUCAUGUAAAUAUAAUUUUGAAUAGUUUUGUCUAUUAUAUUUAUUAAAGUAAAUGUUUUUUUAUACUAAUAAAUCAUGAUAGUUAGAUUUAACGAGAAUUACCAUAAAACUUAACAAGAGCUCGUAUUUGGAUGUACAUUUCUUAUAUCCUUUUAUUUACUAUUUUAGUUUAUUUAUAUUACAAUUUUUUCUAUUUUUGAUUUAUUACAUUUCUAAAAUUUGACAUACUAUAAUUGUUUAACGAGUCUAUCAGAUAUCUAAUUUUAAUCUAUCAUUUUUUAUUUGGACCAAAUAAAUCCUCUAAAAUAGAGCAAAACUUAGUUAAAUAGCUUAUCUACACCAGAUUCAUUCGAUUCUAAAUUUCUAACCAAUAACCCAUAAACAAUCAAGAUAGAUAGUAUCACAUGUAGAGUUGUCAAUAUGGGUUGGCCCACCCCAUCCGGACUAAUCCAUACAUGCUUUGAAAUUUGACGGGUCAGGCCAGGCUAGCCUAUUUUCGAUGUGGGCCAGAAAAUAGUCGGUCCAACCCACAAGUACGUGGGCUACGGGCUUUGUCGGGCAAGCCCUCUUUUCUUAUAUAUAUAUAUUAUAAUUUUUAAAAUUAAAUUAUAAUUUAAAAAUAUGAUCAUAAAUAUCGACAAGACAAUAUUAUAUGGGGCAAGUGUUACUACUUGUUAGUCAAAUCCACAAAUAAAAUUAUCUUUAUAAUAUUUAUUAAGUUUGAUUUCAAGUAAAAACAUAAAUAACUAAAUAUAAAUAUUAACUUAAUUGUUUUCCAAUGAUCAUAAUAAAACACAAAAACUAUGACAAUAUUGCAUAGGCUACGGCCUAUGUAGUGAUUCCCUAGAAAUUUUAGGAAAUUUUUAUUUUAUGUAGUACAUAUUUUAUAAACAUAAUUUUUAUUUAAAUUGUAAUAUUCCAAACUUUAAACAGAUUUUGAAUUUAGAAUCUUGUUAUUUAAAGGACAAAUUACUUAACUACACUUAGGGCUGGGCAUAAUAUGGUUAAAACCGAAAAAACCGACCGAACCGAUUUUUUUUAAAUUUCGGUUUCGGUUUUUCGGUUGGUUUCGGUUUCAGUUUUUAAUAUUUCAGUUUUUCGGUUUUUAGCUUAAAAAAUUCGGUUAACCGAAAAACCGAAAUUAUAUGUAUAUAUUCUUUACCCCUUAAUUAAAAUCUCAGCCCAUGUCCAGGCUCCAGCCGGCCCAUAGCUGAUAGCCCACAACCUUAAUUCUCAGCCCAUGCCCAGCCCAAAUUCCAAUAAAAAAAAUCAGAAAUCCCUAAAAACUAAUUUCCCUAAAAUCAGUCGUCUAACUCGUCUCUCAUCUCGAAACAGUCAACAUACGCCACAACUCUCAUCUCUCAUCUCUCACCUCUGAACUCUCAACUAUCAACUAUCAACUAUCAUCACUCGUCAGUCAACUCUCGUCUCUCAACUCUCAGUUACUACUUACGCGGUGUGAUCAUUCCUUCAGGCUCUGUCCAUGUUUGUUUAUGAGUGUUUUAUUCAUGUCUGUUUCAAUAAUUAGGUUUCAGAGAGAUAAAUAGAUUUCUAUUCCAUCUACAAUAGACCUCUCAAAUUGCAUAAGAAAGUGAAAAGUGGUGUUUCAGACUUGCAGUUGAAAAGAAUUUGUCUGCUCCUUGAACAUGUUAAAUGUUUGGAUAUUUUAGUCGAUAAUAUGGUAGUUUGUUAAUGUUGAUGAGAAUAUGCACUUGUUGUGCUCACAAGUCACAAAAGUUGUGACAGACUUGUGACUGUGAGUUGUGUCCUGCACUUGUUGAGUUGCUUCAAAUUUUCAAUACAUGUUAAAUUCCUGCACUUUUGAAGUCUGCACUUCUGAUUUCUGAAGCUUUUUUUUUCAAUACCUGCACUUCUGAAGCCUUUUUUUUUUCACUGUACUAAAAAUUAUCCAGAUGCCACAUGAAUAACAUGAUACCCCUCUGCCCUUUGUAAACAACGAGCUCAUGAACGGUACUUACUUUUCCAAGUGCUAGUUAUUAAUUUGGUCAUUUCUCUAGCGUUAAUUUAACAAGCACAAAUGUGAAUUGCAAUGUUCAUAAUACUGCUUUGCUUAUGGCCAUGCCUGAUGCCACAGCCCACAACCACAGGCCACUGUUAAUUAAAUUUGGUUAAACCGAAAAUCAAACCGAAAUAAACCGAACCGAAAUUGUAAUAACCGAACCAAACCGAGUUUAUUUCAGUUUGGUUUGGUUUCACAUUUUUGUCAUUUUCAAGGUCUGCGAAAUGGUUUUUGAAGAAACUGUAAAUAUUAUGAAGGCAAAAAAUCGUUCGAGCUAGACGAAGACGAAGACGACGAAGAAGAAGAUGUCAACAGAAAUACAUUCUUCUUUAAUUUCAGAAUCACCAGACGAAAACAGUCUGU
rnacentral:lncRNA from 1 species